rnacentral:rRNA from 1 species
GACGAACGCUGGCGGCGUGCUUAACACAUGCCAGUCGAACGGAAGGGCCCAGCUUGCUGGGUGCUCGAGUGGCGAACGGGUGAGUAACACGUGGGUGAUCUGCCCCUAACUUCGGGAUAAGCUUGGGAAACUGGGUCUAAUACCGGAUAGGACAAUCGUUUAGUGUCGGUUGUGGAAAGUUUUUUCGGUUAGGGAUGAGCCCGCGGCCUAUCAGCUUGUUGGUGGGGUAAUGGCCUACCAAGGCGUCGACGGGUAGCCGGCCUGAGAGGGUGGACGGCCACAUUGGGACUGAGAUACGGCCCAGACUCCUACGGGAGGCAGCAGUGGGGAAUAUUGCACAAUGGGCGCAAGCCUGAUGCAGCGACGCCGCGUGGGGGAUGACGGCCUUCGGGUUGUAAACCUCUUUCGACAGGGACGAAGCUUUGGUGACGGUACCUGUAUAAGAAGCACCGGCUAACUACGUG